UUUUGAUCAAUGUCCAAAAGA
rnacentral:piRNA from 1 species